GAUGAACGCUGGCGGCGUGCCUAAUACAUGCAAGUCGAGCGAACAGAUGAGGAACUUGCUCCUCUGACGUUAGCGGCGGACGGGUGAGUAACACGUGGUUAACCUACCUAUAAGACUGGGAUAACUUCGGGAAACCGGCGCUAAUACCGGAUAAUAUAUUGAACCGCAUGGUUCAAUAGUAAAAGACGGUUUUGCUGUCACUUAUAGAUGGAUCCGCGCCGCAUUAGCUAGUUGGUAAGGUAACGGCUUACCAAGGCAACGAUGCGUAGCCGACCUGAGAGGGUGAUCGGCCACACUGGAACGGAGACACGGUCCAGACUCCUACGGGAGGCAGCAGUAGUGAAUCUUCCGCAAUGGGCGAAAGCCUGACGGAGCAACGCCGCGGGAGGGAUGAAGGUCUUCGGAUCGUAAAACUCUGUUAUUAGGGAAGAACAAAUGUGUAAGUAACUAUGCACGUCUUGACGGUACCUAAUCAGAAAGCCACGGCUAACUACGUG
rnacentral:rRNA from 1 species